GAUGAAGAACGCAGCGAAAUGCGAUACGUAAUGUGAAUUGCAAAUUCAGUGAAUCAUCGAGUCUUUGAACGCACAUUGCGCCCCCUGGUAUUCCGGGGGGCAUGCCUGUCCGAGCGUCAUUGCUGCCCUCAAGCACGGCUUGUGUGUUGAGCCCCGUCCUCCGAUCCCGGGGGACGGGCCCGAAAGGCAGCGGCGGCACCGCGUCCGGUCCUCGAGCGUAUGGGGCUUUGUCACCCGCUCUGUAGGCCCGGCCGGCGCUUGCCGAUCAACCCAAAUUUUUAUCCAGGUUGACCUCGGAUCAGGUAGGGAUACCCGCUGAACUUAAGCAUAUCAAUAAGCGGAGGA
rnacentral:misc_RNA from 1 species